UACGGAGGGUGCAAGCGUUAAUCGGAAUUACUGGGCGUAAAGCGUGCGCAGGCGGUUAUGUCAGGCAGGGGUGAAAUCCCCGGGCUUAACCUGGGAACUGCAUUUGUGACUGUAUAGCUAGAGUACGGUAGAGGGGGAUGGAAUUCCGCGUGUAGCAGUGAAAUGCGUAGAUAUGCGGAGGAACACCGAUGGCGAAGGCAAUCCCCUGGACCUGUACUGACGCUCAUGCACGAAAGCGUGGGGAGCAAACAGG
rnacentral:rRNA from 1 species